rnacentral:rRNA from 1 species
GAUGAACGCUAGCGGCAGGCUUAACACAUGCAAGUCGAGGGGCAGCACGGGUAGCAAUACCUGGUGGCGACCGGCGCAAGGGUGCGUAACGCGUGAGCAACAUGCCCUAUACAGGGGGAUAAUCCAGGGAAACUUGGUCUAAUAUCCCAUAGCAUUUAGAGGAGGCAUCUUCACUAAAUUAAAGCUUCGGUGGUAUAGGAUUGGCUCGCGUGACAUUAGCUAGAUGGUGAGGUAACGGCCCACCAUGGCUAUGAUGUCUAGGGGUUCUGAGAGGAAGACCCCCCAACUGGGACUGAGACACGGCCCAGACUCCUACGGGAGGCAGCAGUGAGGAAUAUUGGACAAUGGAUGGAAAUCUGAUCCAGCCAUGCCGCGUGCAGGAAGACGGCCCUAUGGGUUGUAAACUGCUUUUAUAUGGGAGCAAUAAGGUUUACGAGUAGACCGAUGAGAGUACCAUAUGAAUAAGCAUCGGUAAC